rnacentral:lncRNA from 1 species
AGAUAUAGUUCAACUCCUAGAUUUGGAGGUACUGAUCCCAUGGUUAGUUUUCCCCAUUGCUUUGGUCACCGUAAUAAAACAGCUCAUUCUGACAUGACCUGUUGGAGUUCUUUUGAGACCUCUUCAUCCAUCCUUCCAACCCUCUCUGUGUUUCUGGUAGCCAGCAGCUCUCUGCUAAGAAUGCACCAUUGGGUAGGUAGAGAUACCUUGAAGGACAUCACACACAGAGGGUCAGAAGUCCCUGGAUUGGUGCUCUGCAAAGCCGUCCUCCACCAGUGGCUGAGGCUGAUCAAGGGACUCCUUGUCUCUAGCCAGAGUAUUCUCCAAAACACCCUCCUUAGCCUCUCACCAGUUUCCCCUGGCAGCAUUUUGAUAAGAAAUUGCUUGUAUCUAAGACUUUGGCUCAGUAUCUGCUCUAAGAAACCCCAUUACCUCUGAGAGUGUGCCUUUAUGCAAGAGUCAGCAAGGCAGAGGGUCUUGGUGACCCAUGACCUCAGAUUUACUGCCCUAAGGCCAUUUAAGAUCUAUGUCCCUCUUGCCUCCUCUCUAUCUGAAGGUUGUCAUUUACCCUGGGUGUAGUUAAUAGUAUGACCUGUUUCCAUUCUUAGACUCUUUGGCUGUAUCCCCCUAUGAGAGGUUCCCAUAGGCCUGUUUAACCUUUCUCUAGAUGCCCAUCUCACAGUGUACCUGCCUCUGGAUAUCCCUAGUACAUUUUUAAUGAGCCGGGAACUUCAAACUAGAGACGACCAUACCUGUGUUCAGUCCUUGCCUCUUUCAGACUUUCCAGUAGAGGUGAAGACCCUCCAUUCAGUAGAAAUUCUGGGCCAUUUGUAAGCAUUUGUACUUCCUAAAUAAAUCUUCAUAGCACAAAUAUGUAUAUUAUCAAAAUGUAGUUUGUAAGCAAUUCUGUAUCUAUUUUCUCUAAAUAGAAGUAUGCCCUAAGU